GACGAACCGAGCGAACGUUGUUCGGAAUCACUGGGCUUAAAGGGCGCGUAGGCGGGCUGCCGCGUCCGGGGUGAAAUCCCACGGCUCAACCGUGGAACGGCCCCGGGUACGGGCGGCCUCGAGGGGGGGUAGGGGCGUGCGGAACUGUGGGUGGAGCGGUGAAAUGCGUUGAUAUCCACAGGAACUCCGGUGGCGAAGGCGGCACGCUGGACCCCUUCUGACGCUGAGGCGCGAAAGCCAGGGGAGCGAACGGG
rnacentral:rRNA from 1 species